GGGUUUGUGGCUCAGCGGUAGAGCGCCCAUCUAGCACAUGUGAGGACCUGGGUUUGAUCCUCAGCACCA
rnacentral:tRNA from 1 species